rnacentral:lncRNA from 1 species
CACUGGCCCAGCAGAACAAAGCAGAGGCCAAACUUGAACUCAGGCCUCAAUGUAUGGGUGAUCUUUUUUCAACUGUGGUGAGAUGUUCCCUCUAACUCAUCUUAAAAUGUGGAACUGCUGUACAUUGCCUGUGGGAAAAAAGCCCAAAGCCACAUAGUGAUGUAUCUGUUCAACAGUGUGAAAGAGAAAUUCCCUAUUCACAGUCCUGCACAGUCAACAUUACCUGCUGGCCUGGAAGAUUUCUGGAAUGUCCCAGGUCAUCAAAUGCAGAAGAUGUUCUUUCUGAAGGAGAAGAUUCAGUGGGAAUCCUGUUCGGCUCACCUCCUCCUCAUCACCCAAAUGCACAGCUGAAAAAGGAACAGAAGGGAUGUGGGACAACACAUCCAGUUCCGAUGGCAUUACACAACUCACCCACCAGAAAGAGAUGGAAUUAUCUUCAUCUUCGAGGGAGCCCUGGGCCAUUGGUUUAAAGUUUGUGGGGGCUAGAGGAUAAACGAGAGUCAGGAAGCGAGAGAAACAAGAGACCUCAGCUAACUUGCAGAGGAUUAUGGAGACUUGCAGAAUGCACAGAUCCCAAUGAACAUUUCUGGAGUACAGUAAGUUAUCAGUAGAUCAAUUUCUAUAUGUUUUUCUGGACCAAGGUGAGUGGAAGGAAGCUAGAGGCCCCCAGAAAGGCACUGGAACUUACCCAUGGAGCUCUGAGCUCAUAAACGCAUCACUUUUUGCAGCCGUGGUCCGGGAUGAGAAGCAAGCACGUAUAAGGAGGCUGAGAACUGAUUGUCAUGAGCUCUAUAAACACAUCUCUGCAGCUAGCUUACAUGCUGGAAAAGGGACUAGAGUCUGUUUCAUUUUCAAACUAUCAGUAAAAAUAAUACAUUUCGUUUAUGAGAGAAAGCAAAUUUACAGUAAUGCAAAGAAAUGGUUCAACUAAAUGCAGA